rnacentral:tRNA from 1 species
AAAUUAGGACAGACUCAGGGGUCUGUAGCUCAGUCGGUUAGAGCACCGUCUUGAUAAGGCGGGGGUCGUUGGUUCGAAUCCAACCAGACCCACCA